GUUGGGUUUUUUCAUGGGUUUUUGUUUUGUUUAUUUCGAAUACUGAAAAAGUCCUUUGGGCUCUGUGGGGUUCCCCACGCUCACGGCUCCUUUCUCCCACACUCACUGCCCUUCUUCCCACAGCAAAUCUAUUUCAAGGACAGUACUUUUUAAAAUGAUUAAUGUUGAGUUCUCAACUAGCUCUGCAGAACUAGAGGAGCUGUUUGCAUCUGUCUGUGCGGAUGGAGUUUCUUUUAUCUGACACCAGGUCUCCAACCACACUGAAACAAGGCAUUUAUCUACAGAGCUCAACUAGAACCCCUUUUCAUUAGGCUACUCCACUUCCUUCCCCUCAUACCUACCCCACAUCAGCCACGUGGUUAAGAAGGAUAGUCAGGAAUGUUUUUACCAACUCCAAGCCCUAAUUCAUACUCCUCCAUAUCUCCCACCCCACCCUUUCAACCCCACCCCCACCCCCAGAAUUUCAUUGAUAUUUCUCCCAACUGUUAUUUGGAAAAAAGGUAAAACAAAAAAGGUUCAAGGUCUUGGUGCUCAGCCCAAGGGGCUCCAUGUGCUGGGACACCAACAGGAAAGGGCUUCUGCCUCUCCAGCCCACACCCGAGCCACCUCCUGACCCCUGGCUGCAAAAGCAGGAAGGGGCAGGAGCCAGCACAGGACCCGGGUGGGGCAGGGAGGGGAAGCGUCUCAGGAUCUGGCAGAGCCCCGGGCAGCAUCAUUCAACUUGGCCACCCGCAAGCUUGCUGGUGACGAGCGAGGACUUUCUCUGGGGCAGAUCCUGUGGGGUGGGGAUGUGAUCACCAGUCACCAGGUUCUUGUCUGGUCCUGCACUUGGCAGCUGCUUAUUCUUCAUCUUGGCUUUGGCCAUGUUGUAGUCUCCUGAGUCAAAGUACUUUUGCCCUUUCUGGAGUCUCUUCAUG
rnacentral:lncRNA from 1 species